AGCGGGGAAAAGAAACUAACAGGAUUCCCCUAGUAACUGCGAGUGAAGCGGGAAAAGCUCAAAUUUAAAAUCUGGCGGUCUCUGGCCGUCCGAGUUGUAAUCUAGAGAAGUGUUAUCCGCGCUGGACCGUGUACAAGUCUCCUGGAAUGGAGCGUCAUAGAGGGUGAGAAUCCCGUCUUUGACACGGACUGCCAGGGCUUUGUGAUGCGCUCUCAAAGAGUCGAGUUGUUUGGGAAUGCAGCUCAAAAUGGGUGGUAAAUUCCAUCUAAAGCUAAAUAUUGGCGAGAGACCGAUAGCGAACAAGUACCGUGAGGGAAAGAUGAAAAGAACUUUGGAAAGAGAGUUAAACAGUACGUGAAAUUGCUGAAAGGGAAACGCUUGAAGUCAGUCGCGUUGGCCGGGAAUCAACCUUGCUUUUGCUGGGCGUACUUUCCGGUUGACGGGUCAGCAUCAAUUUUGACCGUUGGAUAAAGUCCAGGGGAAUGUGGCAUCUUCGGAUGUGUUAUAGCCCUUGGUCGCAUACAACGGUUGGGAUUGAGGAACUCAGCACGCCGCAAGGCCGGGUACUUGUACCACGUUCGUGCUUAGGAUGCUGGCAUAAUGGCUUUAAUCGACCCGUCUUGAAACACGGACCAAGGAGUCUAACAUGCCUGCGAGUGUUUGGGUGGAAAACUCGGACGCGUAAUGAAAGUGAAAGUUGAGAUCCCUGUCGUGGGGAGCAUCGACGCCCGGACCAGACCUUUUGUGACGGAUCCGCGGUAGAGCAUGUAUGUUGGGACCCGAAAGAUGGUGAACUAUGCCUGAAUAGGGUGAAGCCAGAGGAAACUCUGGUGGAGGCUCGUAGCGAUUCUGACGUGCAAAUCGAUCGUCAAAUUUGGGUAUAGGGGCGAAAGACUAAUCGAACCAUCUAGUAGCU
rnacentral:rRNA from 1 species